rnacentral:rRNA from 1 species
GAUGAACGCUGGCGGCGUGCCUAAUACAUGCAAGUCGAGCGAACAGAUGAGGAGCUUGCUCCUCUGACGUUAGCGGCGGACGGGUGAGUAACACGUGGAUAACCUACCUAUAAGACUGGGAUAACUUCGGGAAACCGGAGCUAAUACCGGAUAAUAUAUUGAACCGCAUGGUUCAAUAGUGAAAGACGGUUUUGCUGUCACUUAUAGAUGGAUCCGCGCCGCAUUAGCUAGUUGGUAAGGUAACGGCUUACCAAGGCAACGAUGCGUAGCCGACCUGAGAGGGUGAUCGGCCACACUGGAACUGAGACACGGUCCAGACUCCUACGGGAGGCAGCAGUAGAGAAUCUUCCGCAAUGGGCGAAAGCCUGACGGAGCAACGCCGCGUGAGUGAUGGAGGUCUUCGGAUCGUAAAACUCUGUUAUUAGGGAAGAACAAAUGUGUAAGUAACUAUGCACGUCUUGACGGUACCUAAUCAGAAGGCCACGGCUAACUACGUG